UACGGAGGGUGCGAGCGUUGUCCGGAAUCACUGGGCGUAAAGGGCGCGUAGGCGCUCGUGAAGUCAGUGGGUGAAAGCCCAGGCUCAACUCUGGGUCGGCCACUGAUACUCGCGAGCUCGAGUUUGGUAGAGGCAGAUGGAAUUCCGGGUGUAGCGGUGGAAUGCGUAGAGAUCCGGAAGAACACCGGUGGCGAAGGCGGUCUGCUGGGCCAAGC
rnacentral:rRNA from 1 species